ACCCUGCAAUGAAAGCUCUAGAAUGUUGAGCGUCGAACAGGAAGAAGUGUGAGGCAGAAACAAGGAAGUCCAGGCUACAGGGCUGUCAGGAGGCCUUCCUUCUUGCUCCAGCAAAGUAAGUUCUUGGCGUCAGCUUUUAACUCUGAAGUCUCUCUGAAAUAGAUCCUCCAGCAAAACUAAAGGUUACUACCUGCUAUCAACGUCAUGCUUCCUGAGACAGAUCGAGAUGGCUUGUCGCAGACACCAAAUGGCAGGCUUUCCUAACUGGAGGAGGUACAGAAAGAAUUCUGUCAUCAAGGGAAGAAAUAGUCGCAG